AAUUUCUUAUAAUAAAUCUCUUUAUAUAUAUAUAUAUGUAUACACACACAUACAUCCUAUUGGUUCUCUUUCUCUGGAGAACCCUGACUAAUACAGAUUUUGGUACCAGGAAUGGUUUGAGAGGAAUAGAAUCUUAAGAAUGCAUUUUCUGAUUUGGUUCUGGGGCUUCUGGAAUUGACUCUCUAAUCUGAUUAGAUUUAAAGACACUGGGGACUAUUUCCAGUAAUAAAGAGAGCACUGAUAGUACAUGGUGUGAUCUGGCAAUAGAGAUAGGCAAAAUAUCACCACUGGAUAUUCCUAAUCAACCACUUAUAAAAAGCAAGAAUCUGGGUGACCAUGUAUAUGAUACUUCAAGCAUUUUUGUCAAACUAACAAAUAUAGUGGGAUUGGCUGGUUGCUCCUAACGUUGGUGGACAAAGUGGGGAGAGAAAAGGAUGAACUCAGAGAUUCAAUUUCCCAGCUCAAGCACCACAUAAAUGACUUAAAAGAAUCUAUGUCUGCCCUGAAAGAAACCCUUAUCCCCUGUAGCCACAGGGCUGAGAUGGCUGAAAACCAAACUCAGAACCCUAUCUACUAUCUCAGAACUUUAUCCUGGGAGUGAAUUACAAAACAAAUUGAAUUCCCAGCCUCACUGAUGUCUACUGAUAAAGUGAGGGCAGUGUUUGGGAAGGAAUGGAUGGAAUCCUAAAAGUUGGAAUAAGGACAUGUGGGAAUACUGAUGGAGCUGGGGGCAUUGAGACCCUUAAUUCUGAUUAGUCUUGGACCACUUCCAUCAUGAAAGGGGCAGCAUUUGUUCUUAUUGGAACAGACACAUGCUGGAUACAAAUUUGCCUUCCCUUCCCACAAUGCUUCUGCCAAAACUGCCACCCGUGGACUAGAAUGCCUUAUCCACCAUUAUGGUAUUCCAAAAAGCAUUGCUUCUGAUGAAAGAACUCUCUUCAUAGCAAUGAAGAACAGCAAUGGGUCCAUGCUCAUGAAAUUCACUAGUCUUGCUGUUUUCCCUACCAUCCUGAAGCAGCUGGUAGGUAGAACAGUGGAAUGGCCUGGUGAAGCCUCAGUUAUACUGUCAGUUAGGGGGCAAUGCCUUGCAGGGAUGGGACAAGGUACUCCAGGAGGCUGUAUAUGCUCUAAAGCAGCAUUCCAUAUAUGGUACUAUUUCUCCCAUAGCCAAGAUUCACAGGUCCAGGUAUCAAGGGGUAGAAAUAGGAGUGGCACCACUCACUAUUACCCAUAGUGACCCAGUGGCAAAAUUUUUGCUUCCUGUUCCUGUAACCUUAUACUCUGCGAACCUAGAGGUCUUAGUUCCAAAGGAAGGAAUGCUUCCACCAGGAGACAUGGUAAUGAUUCCACUGAACUGAAAGUUAAGACUGGCACCUGGCCAUUUUAAGUUCAACAGGCAGAGAGGGAGUUACUGUGUUGGCUGGGGUGAUUGACCUUGACUACCAAGAGGAAAUUGGACUGCUACUCCACAAAGGAGGUAAGGAAGGGUAUGUCUGGAAUAUAGGAGAUCUCUUGGGGAAUCUCUUAGUAUUACCAUGCCCUGUGAUUAAAGUCAAUGGAGGGCCGGCCCCAUGGCUUAGCGGUUAAGUGCACACGCUCUGCUAUUGGCGGCCCAGGUUCGGAUCCCGGGCACGCACCAAUGCACUGCUUGUCCAGCCAUACUGAGGCAGCGUCCCACAUACAGCUAUGUAUGUGGCUACAACUAGAAGAAUGUGUGACUAUGACAUACAGCUAUCUACUGGGGCUUUGGGGGAAAAAAAAAGGAGGAGGAUUGGCAAUAGAUGUUAGCUCAGAGCCGGUCUUCCUCAGCAAAAAGAGGAGGAUUAGCAUGGAUGUUAGCUCAGGGCUGAUCUUCCUCACAAAAAAAAUUAAUAAAUAAAGUCAAUGGAAAACUACAGCCACCCAAUUUAGGCAGGACUACUAAUGGCCUAGACCCUUCAGGAAUGAAGGUUUGUGUCACCCCACCAAGUAAAGAACCAAGACUAACUGAGGUGCUUGAAGAAGGCAAAGGAAAUUUGAAAUGGGUAGUGGAAGAAGGUAGUUAUGAAUAUCAACUAUGGCCAUGUGACCAAUUAUAGAAAUGAGAACUGUAAUUGUCAUGAGUAUUUCCUCCUUAUUUUGUUAUGAAUAUGUUUGUGUGUGUGUAUAAAGCAAAUACCUUUGUUUUCUUUCUUCACUUAUUCUCUUAUCAUGUAACAUAAAAUGUAUUGACUAUCACGAUAUUUAAGUAUUGUUAAUUUUACAUAGUAGUAUUUAAGUUACGGGGUAUCAAGGAGAAGAGUAAACAUCAUUUAAGGACUUUGCAUCUUCUUCUGGUUAAAGAGUUAGUAAGUUUUUGGUUGUACACAAGAUAGUUGUUAGGAGAAGUAUGAGCUUGUUAUUGUCUUUAUUUGAAGAUGCAUAUGGGUGCCAGGUUGACAAGGGGUCGACUUGUGAUGGUUAAUUUUAUGUGUCAACUUGAAUGGGCUUGGGAGUGCCCAGUUAAACAGUAUUCUUGGUAAUUCUGCAAGGGUGUUUUCAGAUGAAAUUAAGAUUUUAAUUGGUAAAGCAGAUUACCCUCAUCCAACUGGUUGAAGGCCUGAAUAGAACAAAAAGACCAGCCUUCUCAAGCAAGAGGGAAUUCUCCAGCAGACUGCUUUCAGAAUUCAUUUGCACCACUGGCUUGGGAUCUGUCUCUCGAGUUGACCGGCCCACACCAGAUUUGGACUUGCCAAUUUCCAUAAUCACCCAUCUCAGUCCAGAUGCCAGACGGGAGAGUUAAGAAGCCAUCCUAGACAUCCAGCCCAGUUAAGCAUUCAGGUGACUCCAGCUUCAGCCAUGGGUGUUACCACAUGCAAGACCCCAAGCAAGCACCACCAAGCUAAGCCCAGUCAACCCACAGAACUAUGAGAAAUAAUAAUAAAUUGUUAUUUCAAGCCA